AACGUAGGUGGCAAGCGUUAUCCGGAUUUACUGGGCGUAAAGCGUGUGCAGGCUGUUCACCAAGUGGUGUAUGAAAGCGCUCGGCUCAACCGGGCAAGGGUAUGCCAGACUGGUGGACUAGAGACUGACAGAGGGUGGUGGAAUUCCGGGUGUAGUGGUGAAAUGCGUAGAGAUCCGGAGGAACCCAGAGGCGAAGGCGGCCUUCUGGACGAUGACUGACGCUGAGACGCGAAAGCGUGGGGAGCAAACAGG
rnacentral:rRNA from 1 species